rnacentral:rRNA from 1 species
UUUAUUAAGAUUAUUUAUAAUUUAUUAUAUAUUUUAAAUUGUAAAUUUAUAUAUAAAUAUUUGUUUAUUAUUUUUAUAUAAAUUGUAAAAAUAAGAGGUUUUAUUAAUAAUUUAAACUAUUAUUAAUAAUUAGGGUUAUUAAUGGUAAAUAAAUGUAAUAGAGUUGAAGAUAGUGCCAGCAAAUGCGGUUAUACUUAAUCUGUGAAUUAAUUUACAACGAUUAAUAAAUGAAUUUUAUAAUUAAUAAGAAUUAAAAAUAGAUUUUAAUAGGUAGUGAAAUAGUUUUAUUUAAAAAAUUUAUUAAUUUUUAUUAGUGUUUAUAUAUUUAGGAGAUUUAUUUAGUAAACUAGGAUUAGAUACCCUAUUAUUUUUAAAUACAAACUAUUAAUUAUUUAGUAAAUGUUAUAUCAUUAAAUAAAGAAAAUAUGGCGGUUAUAUAAAUUUUUAGGGGAAUCUGUAUAUUGAUUUGAUAGUCCACGUUAAUAUUAACUAAUAAUGAUAGUAUAUAUAUAUUAUUUUUUUUGUAUUGCUGUUUUAAGACUUUAAUUGAAUUUAUAAUUUGUUAGGAUAUAAAUUUUUUAUAAAAAUUUAUAAAAAUUCAAGUCAAAAUUAAAUAUAUAUUAGAUUUAUAUGGAUUACAUUAUAAAUAAAUUUAUAAGUUUAUUAAUUUAUAUUAAUAUUAUAAAAAGGAUUUAAUAGUAAAAUUAUAUAAUAUAUUAAUUUGAAAAAUAUUUAUAUAAUGUACAAAUUGCCCGUCAAUUUCAUUAAAAGUGAAGUAAGUCGUAACAUAGUUAGGAUACUGGAAGGUGUUUUAAAUAAAUAU